CACGUAGGGCGCAAGCGUUGUCCGGAAUUAUUGGGCGUAAAGAGCUCGUAGGUGGCUUAGUAAGUCGGGUGUGAAACCUCCAGGCUCAACCUGGAGACGCCACCCGAUACUGCUAUAGCUUGAGUCCGGUAGGGGAGCGUGGAAUUCCUGGUGUAGCGGUGAAAUGCGCAGAUAUCAGGAGGAACACCAGCGGCGAAGGCGACUCUUUGGCCUGUAACUGACGCUGGAGGCGCGAAAAGCGUGGGGAGCAAACAGG
rnacentral:rRNA from 1 species